UCCCUGGUGGCUCAGAUGGUAGAGCACCUGCCUGCAAUGUGGGAGGCCUGGGUUUGAUCCCUGGGUCGGGAA
rnacentral:tRNA from 1 species